rnacentral:rRNA from 1 species
UACGGAGGGGGUUAGCGUUGUUCGGAAUGACUGGGCGUAAAGCGCGCGUAGGCGGAUCGGAAAGUCGGGGGUGAAAUCCCGGGGCUCAACCCCGGAAUGGCCUUCGAAACUCCCGGUCUUGAGUUCGAGAGAGGUGAGUGGAAUUCCGAGUGUAGAGGUGAAAUUCGUAGAUAUUCGGAGGAACACCAGUGGCGAAGGCGGCUCACUGGCUCGACACUGACGCUGAGGUGCGAAAGCGUGGGUAGCAAACAGG